CAAUAGCGUAUAUUAAAGUUGUUGCAGUUAAAAAGCUCGUAGUUGGAUUUCUGGUAGGAGUGACCGUUCCGAACUUGAUUGUUCGUGUAUUGUGUUUUCUCCAGCCAUCCUUGUGGAGAACUUUUCUUGCAUUAAUUUGUAGGGAUUGGGACCCGCAUCGUUUACUGUGAAAAAAUUAGAGUGUUUAAAGCAGGCAAUCGCUUGAAUACAUUAGCAUGGAAUAAUAAGAUAGGACUUUGGUACUAUUUUGUUGGUUUGCAUACCAAAUUAACGAUCAACAGGAACAGUUUGAGGAUAUUCGUAUGAACAUGUCAGAGGUGAAAUUCUUGGAUUUUGAUCAGACGAACUACUGCGAAAGCAUUUAUCAAGGAUGUUUUCAUUAA
rnacentral:rRNA from 1 species